CCUGAUGUUCACCAAGGUGAAGCUGGAGCAGGUGCUGAAAGGCCCAGAGGAAGCCCUCGUGACCUGCAGACAAAUGCUGAGGCUGUGGCAGACCCUGUACAGCUUCUCCCAGCUGGGAGGCCUAGAAAAGGAUGGCAGCUUCGGUGAGGGCCUCACCAUGAAGAAGCAGAGUGGCAUGCACCUGACUUUGCCUGAUGCCCAUGAUGCAGACUCUGGCUCAAGCCAGAGGCCACAGUCCACGUAAUGUCCUUGGCAGAUCAAGUCAAAUAGAAAGGAAUGGACUGAGCUCUUUACAAUUCUAAGCUGAAAGCAGACUCUUUUCUGGAAAAACUCAUCCUGAAACCCAUGGCUUGUGAAAUUCAAAUGAGUUCAGGAACUGCAGACUUACAUUUUUUAACUGAGGACCUGCUUAAAGCAGAACACCUUCAUCAAAAACACAAGAAUUAGUCAUGGGAAAGAAAGUGUGAGUGGACUUGUAUUUAGUGGAAUUGCUCAGUUUUUUCACUUCUGUAGACAUGAGCCUUUCUGUGGACAAAGCCUUGCACCUUUGUUGUCAAGUGACAGAGUUGAUUUCAGAAGCCAAACCUAGCACCCAACUUUAGAGGCACAUCUCAGGGGUGUAUGGCUGUAUGCAGAGCUUCUGUCUCCCAGGAGGGAAUGGUUAAGGGAGGGGAGAAUGUUAGCUCCCUUGCAAUUAAAGAA
rnacentral:sRNA from 1 species